GAUGAACGCUGGCGGCGUGCCUAAUACAUGCAAGUCGAGCGAACAGACGAGGAGCUUGCUCCUCUGACGUUAGCGGCGGACGGGUGAGUAACACGUGGAUAACCUACCUAUAAGACUGGGAUAACUUCGGGAAACCGGAGCUAAUACCGGAUAAUAUAUUGAACCGCAUGGUUCAAUAGUGAAAGACGGUUUUGCUGUCACUUAUAGAUGGAUCCGCGCCGCAUUAGCUAGUUGGUAAGGUAACGGCUUACCAAGGCGACGAUGCGUAGCCGACCUGAGAGGAUGAUCGGCCACACUGGAACUGAGACACGGUCCAGACUCCUACGGGAGGCAGCAGUGGGGAAUCUUGGGCAAUGGGCGAAAGCCUGACGGAGCAAUGCCGCGUGAGUGAUGAAGGUCUUCGGAUUGUAAAGCUCUUUUAUUAGGGAAGAAAAAAUGUGUAUGUAAAUAUGGACGUCUUGACGGUACCUAAUGAGAAAGCCCCGGCUAACUACGUG
rnacentral:rRNA from 1 species